rnacentral:rRNA from 1 species
GUGUCAGCCGCCGCGGUAAUACGUAGGGUGCGAGCGUUAAUCGGAAUUACUGGGCGUAAAGCGUGCGCAGGCGGUUAUACAAGACAGGCGUGAAAUCCCCGGGCUUAACCUGGGAAUGGCGCCUGUGACUGUAUAGCUAGAGUGUGUCAGAGGGGGGUAGAAUUCCACGUGUAGCAGUGAAAUGCGUAGAUAUGUGGAGGAAUACCAAUGGCGAAGGCAGCCCCCUGGGAUAACACUGACGCUCAUGCACGAAAGCGUGGGGAGCAAACAGGAUUAGAAACCCCCGUAGUCC